CACUCCUACGGGAGGCAGCAGUGGGGAAUAUUGCACAAUGGGCGCAAGCCUGAUGCAGCCAUGCCGCGUGUAUGAAGAAGGCCUUCGGGUUGUAAAGUACUUUCAGCGGGGAGGAAGGCAAUACGGUUAAUAACCGUGUUGAUUGACGUUACCCGCAGAAGAAGCACCGGCUAACUCCGUGCCAGCAGCCGCGGUAAUACGGAGGGUGCAAGCGUUAAUCGGAAUUACUGGGCGUAAAGCGCACGCAGGCGGUCUGUCAAGUCGGAUGUGAAAUCCCCGGGCUCAACCUGGGAACUGCAUUCGAAACUGGCAGGCUUGAGUCUUGUAGAGGGGGGUAGAAUUCCAGGUGUAGCGGUGAAAUGCGUAGAGAUCUGGAGGAAUACCGGUGGCGAAGGCGGCCCCCUGGACAAAGACUGACGCUCAGGUGCGAAAGCGUGGGGAGCAAACAGGAUUAGAUACCCGUGUAGUCCCAUGA
rnacentral:rRNA from 1 species